CCUGACUACAGGAGGAAACUUACAUCCCAGUGGGGAAUAAGCCUCAGAAAGGCAACAUACUUGAGCAAAGAAAAAAGGUAAGGAAAAAGCUAAAAAACCAAAUACUAAGAACUAAGUUGUUGGGCUUUUUUUUUUUUUUGUUCUUAGGGCAGAAGGAAGUAUAGAUGUAAUGGUGAAAGGAGACAUGAUGACACUAAAUUGCUCAAGGCAAAAAUAAACAGCAGAAGCAGUAUCGCUCUCAGGCCAGCAGUAAACUAAACCCAAGAAAAACAUUCUUAAGAAUAUGAUGAUGUGUCUCAGUUUGGCUGCUGUGUUUAUUGCUGUACUCAGGUGUUAAACCAGUUGCCUGGGAAACCUCAGGAACAGUGCAUGAGAUGGACAAAACAGCUGAACUUUGAACAGAGGGGCUGACUGAGAAAAACGUGUUUGCUGCUCAGACAUUUGCAAAGAUUACAAUGUAGAGAACUUGCUGCAGUGGUUGCCUGUCUCCUCUUCCAGCUUCAAGUUUGCAGUUGCUGUUAAUUAGUGUAACUUCACCUGAAACAAUGUGAAGCUGUUUCCAUCAAUCUGAGGAUAUAGACCAAGCUCCUGUCUUCAAAUUGCAACAAAGCCCUGUAACAGAUCUCAGAUACAGAAAACCUAGGAAAGCAGCUUUCUGAAAGUCAAGGAUACUCCACAAAUUCCACAGGAGACUUGCUGCUGGCCACUUACUAUUUGGAAAUCACAGGACAAGUAUCAGCACCAAAAAAAGAGCAUCAUGGUGUGUGCAUAGUGUGCACAGUGUGCAGGCUAAAAUGAAACACAGUGGUUUUUACACAUAUUAUUCCUCCAAAAAACCCAACCCAGCGGCAUCAUAAU
rnacentral:lncRNA from 1 species